rnacentral:rRNA from 1 species
AGCAGCCGCGGUAAUUCCAGCUCCAAUAGCGUAUAUUAAAGUUGUUGCAGUUAAAAAGCUCGUAGUUGAACUUCGGGGUUCACCCAUUGGUCAGGCUUAAUUGUCUGUACUGGUGAGAUGAGUCUCUACCUUCUGAGGAACUUUCAUGCCAUUUGUUUGGUGUGAUUGGAAAUCAGGACUGUUACUUUGAAAAAAUUAGAGUGUUUAAAGCAGGCUAACGUCUGAAUACAUUAGCAUGGAAUAAUGAAAUAGGACGGAUUGAUUCUAUUUCGUUGGUUUCUAGGGUCACCGUAAUGAUUAAUAGGGAUAGUUGGGGGCAUUAGUAUUCAAUUGUCAGAGGUGAAAUUCUUGGAUUUAUUGAAGACUAACUACUGCGAAAGCAUUUGCCAAGGAUGUUUUCAUUAAUCAAGAACGAAAGUUAGGGGAUCGAAGACGAUCAGAUACCGUCGUAGUCUUAACCAUGAACUAUGCCGACUAGGGAUCGGACGCAGUUAAUUUUAUAAUGACGU